CCCGCACAAGCGGAGGAACAUGUGGUUUAAUUCGAUGAUACGCGAGGAACCUUACCUGGGCUUAAAUGUAGAGUGCAUUCCCGAGAAAUCGGGAUUUUCUUCGGAACUCUUUGCAAGGUGCUGCAUGGUUGUCGUCAGCUCGUGCCGUGAGGUGUCGGGUUAAGUCCCAUAACGAGCGCAACCCUUAUCGUUAGUUGCCAGCGGGUAAUGCCGGGAACUCUAGCGAAACUGCCGGUGUAAACCGUGAGGAAGGUGGGGAUGACGUCAAAUCAGCACGGCCCUUAUGUCCAGGGCUACACACGUGUUACAAUGGCCGGUACAGAGGGCAGCUACCUGGAGACAGGAUGCGAAUCUCCAAAGCCGGUCUCAGUUCGGAUCGGAGUCUGCAACUCGACUCCGUGAAGCUGGAUUCGCUAGUAAUCGCGCAUCAGCUAUGGCGCGGUGAAUACGUUCCCGGGCCUU
rnacentral:rRNA from 1 species